rnacentral:tRNA from 1 species
AUUUAAAUAGUUUAAUUAAAAUAUUGAUUUGUGGGAUCAAUGAUACAUUUAUGUUUUAAAUA